CAGCAGCAGCCACGGGAAUACGAAGGGGGCUAGCGUUGUUCGGAUUUACUGGGCGUAAAGCGCACGUAGGCGGACUUUUAAGUCAGGGGUGAAAUCCCGGGGCUCAACCCCGGAACUGCCUUUGAUACUGGAAGUCUUGAGUAUGGUAGAGGUGAGUGGAAUUCCGAGUGUAGAGGUGAAAUUCGUAGAUAUUCGGAGGAACACCAGUGGCGAAGGCGGCUCACUGGACCAUUACUGACGCUGAGGUGCGAAAGCGUGGGGAGCAAACAGGAUUAGAUACCCGAGUAGUCCCUGUCUCUUAUAC
rnacentral:rRNA from 1 species